CAGUCGCCGCGGGAAUACGGAGGGAGCCAGCGUUGUUCGGAAUUACUGGGCGUAAAGCGCGCGUAGGCGGUUACUCAAGUCAGAGGUGAAAGCCCGGGGCUCAACCCCGGAACUGCCUUUGAAACUAGGUGACUAGAAUCUUGGAGAGGUCAGUGGAAUUCCGAGUGUAGAGGUGAAAUUCGUAGAUAUUCGGAAGAACACCAGUGGCGAAGGCGACUGACUGGACAAGUAUUGACGCUGAGGUGCGAAAGCGUGGGGAGCAAACAGGAUUAGAUACCCCGUGUAGUCCCUGUCUCUUAUA
rnacentral:rRNA from 1 species